rnacentral:rRNA from 1 species
UACGGGAGGCAGCAGUGGGGAAUAUUGCACAAUGGGCGCAAGCCUGAUGCAGCCAUGCCGCGUGUAUGAAAAGGCCUUCGGGUUGUAAAGUACUUUCAGUCGUGAGGAGGUGUUAAGGUUAAUAACCUUAGCAAUUGACGUUAGCGACAGAAGAAGCACCGGCUAACUCCGUGCCAGCAGCCGCGGUAAUACGGAGGGUGCGAGCGUUAAUCGGAAUUACUGGGCGUAAAGGGCACGCAGGCGGUUAAUUAAGUUGGAUGUGAAAUCCCCGGGCUUAACCUGGGAAUGGCAUUCAAGACUGGUUAGCUAGAGUCUUGUAGAGGGGGUAGAAUUCCAUGUGUAGCGGUGAAAUGCGUAGAGAUGUGGAGGAAUACCGGUGGCGAAGGCGGCCCCUGGACAAAGACUGACGCUCAUGUGCGAAAGCGUGGGGAGCAAACAGGGAUUAGAUACC